GUGAGGAAUUUUCCGCAAUGGGCGAAAGCCUGACGGAGCAAUGCCGCGUGAAGGAUGAAGGCCUAUGGGUUGUAAACUUCUUUUCUCAGAAAAGAAUUAUGACGGUAUCUGAGGAAUAAGCAUCGGCUAACUCUGUGCCAGCAGCCGCGGUAAGACAGAGGAUGCAAGCGUUAUCCGGAAUGAUUGGGCGUAAAGCGUCUGUAGGUUGUUUAAAAAGUAUUCUGUCAAAGAUUAGGGCUUAACCCUAGAUAGGCAGAAUAAACUUUUAAGCUAGAGUUUGGUAGAGGCGGAGGGAAUUCCCAGUGGAGCGGUGAAAUGCGUAGAUAUCGGGAGGAACACCAAAGGCGAAGGCACUCUGCUGGGCCAAUACUAACACUGAGAGACGAAAGCGAGGGGAGCAAAUGGGAUUAGAUACCCCAGUAGUCC
rnacentral:rRNA from 1 species